UGAUGAGAUCCAGAGUCCUAUAUUAAACAGCUGUCGUGGUUAUCGGUAAAUCUUUUGAUUUUACAAGGUUAUACAAGAACAAUGAGUGCAUCCAAACUGCAGCAAAGUGGUGAGGUGAGAAUCUCACACUUGCUAAAUAUGAAAGAGAAGGAGUUUUUAGUCAAAAGAAGAGAAACCGUUUUUCAAAGCCUGAAUAAACUCAAUAUACACUGCAGUAAGGUAAAACAUCUCAUCCCUAAUAUAUUACUAUUAGCAGUGUAGCAUGCUGGAAAUUUUCUUUUGGCUCUGUAUGCAUGCAUGUGUACUAAACAAAUAUAGCUGCAUAAUAGCACUUCUAUUUUUAUGUAUGUUUUCAUUUUCUUCAAAAUCAAUAUUUUAUCCUGUGCUGUUUCUUUGCAGUCUGUUUG